rnacentral:lncRNA from 1 species
UGUUUAUUGAUCUAACACAAAUAAUUUACUGAUAUUUACACUUAAAACAAAAAUGGUAAGCUUUUCUUUUUUCCUAUCAGAAGUUUUAGUAACAUUUUAUGGUAAUAAAGAUACUUAUUCCAAAAAUAAUUUGUAUUUACGUAUUACGUAAUUAACGUAAGUCUAAUACAAAAACUCUAAAUAAAAAAAUAACAAUCAAUUUGAGGAAAUGUAUACAAGAAAAUAGAUUUAUGUGUGUCAACAGGUUUUUAUGAAACAUUUCAAGUCUUUUCUUUUUCUUUAAAUAAUGCCGAGAUAAUUUUUUUAAUUGAUUUAAUUUAUGAAUUACAAAUUAUUAUUACUUUAAGAUUUUUUUUUAUUUGUUUCGUUUUUGUUAAGAAAAGACCGCAAAGGAUAGAAAUAUUAGAUAUAUGUAUUCAUGGACAUUCUUACAAUGAUUCUACAAGUUAAAAAAAAAAAGAAAUGGUUUGGUUUUCAAUGAUACAAUGAGACAGCUAUCCAAAUAAAAUGUUAGCAUGUAUCGGUACAAUAUAAACGACAGGCCUUAAAAAUGAGGAAAACUCAUACCGUAUAGUCAUCUAUUAAAAGGCAGGAAAUAAAAAUGACACAAUGUGGCACAAUACAAAUGAGAAAACCAAAAAUGUGAUUUAACGAUCAAAUAUUAAAAAACAUCAAACAACGACCACCACUAGAUAACAGGUCCCUGACUUGGAACUAAUGUGGCGGGACUAACAUGAUUUGUGAUCGGUUUACCCCCCCUUAGCCUGAAAGUCAAUUAUAGUCUAGAAUUAAAACAACACAAGUAUGGACAUAGUUACUCGUUGUAGGUCAUACAUAAAAGUAUGUUUGUGCAAUUCGUCAAAUUUCCAGUCCUUAAUAAAAAAAAAUUACCGAUCUCUAAAUUGUCGGUCCUUUUUAAUGUUUUAUCAAAACGUAAAUACAAGCAUCUUUAAUAUCCAACAAGGUCGAUACAUCAUAACCCGUAAGUUGUAGCUUGAAUGGGCUUUUUAAAAUACCGUUGGACGGAUGAAUUAGUUGAAAUCAAAUAACAACUUAAAAAUAAAGCAUGUUGAAUCAGACUGGCUGGGGAGGUCAUUAUGAUUUUAAAGUUACGGGGGGGGGGGGGGAAUUAAAAUCACAAAUAAUGGACUGCGGAUACAUAUAUGAUUUUACAUUAAGGGGUUAUUCCUGUCAUUAUAGAACAGACAUGAAGACAUACAAAUCAAUAUGGCUUACGUGUUUUUUUCAAACUACGUAUAGCAUGACAAAUAUUGUAUUACAUAUUCUACUUUCAGAUUCAAUCAAUUCUUAGUUUUUGCUUUCCCUUUGUUUUAUUGUGUGCGGUUACUUCUGGUAAGGAAACAGAUACACAAGAUACAGGAAUAGUUUACACAGCAGAUAAACGAAUUUGUCAAAAUAUAACAUGGUAAUAUAUGAUAUUCCUCUACUUUAUCCAUGUAGUGCCAAUGAAUGAUUUGCCCGCCCACC